rnacentral:rRNA from 1 species
GAUGAACGCUGGCGGCGUGCCUAAUACAUGCAAGUCGAGCGAACGGACGAGAAGCUUGCUUCUCUGAUGUUAGCGGCGGACGGGUGAGUAACACGUGGAUAACCUACCUAUAAGACUGGGAUAACUUCGGGAAACCGGAGCUAAUACCGGAUAAUAUUUUGAACCGCAUGGUUCAAAAGUGAAAGACGGUCUUGCUGUCACUUAUAGAUGGAUCCGCGCUGCAUUAGCUGGUUGGUAAGGUAACGGCUUACCAAGGCAACGAUGCAUAGCCGACCUGAGAGGGUGAUCGGCCACACUGGAACUGAGACACGGUCCAGACUCCUACGGGAGGCAGCAGUAGGGAAUCUUCCGCAAUGGGCGAAAGCCUGACGGAGCAACGCCGCGUGAGUGAUGAAGGUCUUCGGAUCGUAAAACUCUGUUAUUAGGGAAGAACAUAUGUGUAAGUAACUGUGCACAUCUUGACGGUACCUAAUCAGAAAGCCACGGCUAACUACGUGCCAGCAGCCGCGGUAAUACGUAGGUGGCAAGCGUUAUCCGGAAUUAUUGGGCGUAAAGCGCGCGUAGGCGGUUUUUUAAGUCUGAUGUGAAAGCCCACGGCUCAACCGUGGAGGGUCAUUGGAAACUGGAAAACUUGAGUGCAGAAGAGGAAAGUGGAAUUCCAUGUGUAGCGGUGAAAUGCGCAGAGAUAUGGAGGAACACCAGUGGCGAAGGCGACUUUCUGGUCUGUAACUGACGCUGAUGUGCGAAAGCGUGGGGAUCAAACAGGAUUAGAUACCCUGGUAGUCCACGCCGUAAACGAUGAGUGCUAAGUGUUAGGGGGUUUCCGCCCCUUAGUGCUGCAGCUAACGCAUUAAGCACUCCGCCUGGGGAGUACGACCGCAAGGUUGAAACUCAAAGGAAUUGACGGGGACCCGCACAAGCGGUGGAGCAUGUGGUUUAAUUCGAAGCAACGCGAAGAACCUUACCAAAUCUUGACAUCCUUUGACAACUCUAGAGAUAGAGCCUUCCCCUUCGGGGGACAAAGUGACAGGUGGUGCAUGGUUGUCGUCAGCUCGUGUCGUGAGAUGUUGGGUUAAGUCCCGCAACGAGCGCAACCCUUAAGCUUAGUUGCCAUCAUUAAGUUGGGCACUCUAAGUUGACUGCCGGUGACAAACCGGAGGAAGGUGGGGAUGACGUCAAAUCAUCAUGCCCCUUAUGAUUUGGGCUACACACGUGCUACAAUGGACAAUACAAAGGGCAGCGAAACCGCGAGGUCAAGCAAAUCCCAUAAAGUUGUUCUCAGUUCGGAUUGUAGUCUGCAACUCGACUAUAUGAAGCUGGAAUCGCUAGUAAUCGUAGAUCAGCAUGCUACGGUGAAUACGUUCCCGGGUCU